UCUGAUAGCUCAACUAUUAGGCUUCGGGGGAUACUGCCAGACUGGAACCGGGAGAGGUAAGAGGUACUACAGGGGUAGGAGUGAAAUCUUGUAAUCCCUGUGGGACCACCUGUGGCGAAGGCGUCUUACCAGAACGGGUUCGACGGUGAGGGACGAAAGCUGGGGGCACGAACCGGAUUAGAUACCCGGUAGUCCCAGCCGUAAACGAUGCUCGCUAGGUGUCAGGCAUGGCGCGACCGUGUCUGGUGCCGCAGGGAAGCCGUGAAGCGAGCCACCUGGGAAGUACGGCCGCAAGGCUGAAACUUAAAGGAAUUGGCGGGGGAGCACAACAACGGGUGGAAGCCUGCGGUUUAAUUGGACUCAACGCCGGACAACUCACCGGGGGCGACAGCAAUAUGUAGGCCAAGCUGAAGACUUUGCCUAGAAUCGCUGAGGGGUGGUGCAUGG
rnacentral:rRNA from 1 species